rnacentral:rRNA from 1 species
GUUGUCGUGGUAUCGAUUUAUUUUGAGUUAAAAUAGUUUGUUUGUAGAAUAGAGAAUGGGAAAAAUAUUUUGGUAAUUGAGUAAUUAGGAAGGAAUGAUUUUAAGGACUAUAGAGGAGAGUACCGUGAGGGAAGAUUGAAAUAAGCAUGUAAUGUUAAUAUUGUAAAAGUAAAAGUAAAGUUUUGUACCUUGUGUAUUAGGGGCGUUUAAUAUAAUAUAAUUAUUGUAUAAGUCCCGAAAGAAAGAUAGCUAAAUUAUUAAGAGAGUUUUUGUUGUAAAAAAAUUCUAAAUUUUAUUUUAGUAGUGAAACACUAAUCGGGCUUUUUAAUAUCUGGUUCUUUACGAAAUAAAUUAAAUUUAGUUUUAGUAUUAAUAUAAUUACUAAGGGUAAGAGUAGGAGGGUAGAGCUUCUUAUUAAAUUUUUAUAGGGGUGUAAAUUAGAGUGGUUAUUUGGCUAGGCUUGGAAGUAGCUAUGCUUGUAAAGUGUUAUUAUUAAUAUUUUAUUAUUUUAAUAUUUUUAACUCUUUGGGUAAGUAGGAAAGAAUAUUUAAAAAUUUUAUUAAAAUAUUUAAAAUUGGUGUAUUAGUAUAUAUGGUGAUUUAUAUCGUAAAUUGUAAAAUUAAAAUAAAAUUAUAUGGGGUAUAUUUGUUUAAUAAAGGAACUCGGCAAAUAUUGCUUUCGCCUGUUUAUCAAAAACAUGUCUAUACGGAGGUUUGUAUAGUCUGGCCUGCCCAUUGGGUUACUAAAAGGCCGCGGUAUAUUGACCGUGCGAAGGUAGCAUAAUCAUUAGUCUUUUAAUUGAGGGCUUGUAUGAACGGUUAGACGAGAAGUGGACUGUCUUUAUUGAAGCAAUUGAAUUUAACUUUUUAGUGAAAAGGCUUAAAUGAUCUAGGGGGACGAUAAGACCCUAUAAAGUUUAACAUAAUGAGGAUAAAAAAUUAAUUAGAUUAUAAAGUUUAUUAUCAUAAAUAAUGUUUUGUUGGGGCGACAAGAAUAAAAAUAAUUUAACUGUUCUUUUUUAGAUACAAAAAUAUUUGUGUAGGGUGAUCUUUUUUAGAAGUAUUAGAGUAAAUUACUUUAGGGAUAACAGCGUAAUUUUUUUUGAGAGUUCUUAUCGACAAAAUAGUUUGCGACCUCGAUGUUGAAUUAAAGGGUCUUUAUAAUGGAGGCGUUAUAGGAGAGGGUCUGUUCGACCUUUAAAUCUUUACAUGAUUUGAGUUCAAACCGGCGUAAGCCAGGUUGGUUUCUAUCUCCUGGGUUGGUAAAAGUUAUUUUAGUACGAAAGGAUUAAAUAGCUAAAAUAAUUUUUAUUUGAUAAAGUGUAUGUAUUAAUUACAGGAUUUUUCAGGGAGAAAAGAAUUCUUC